UCCCCGUUCACCGGGGCAGUCCCCUUAGAGUGCCCGGCAUGACCCGGUAGCAACAAAGGGCGAGGGUUGCGCUCGUUGCGGGACUUAACCCAACAUCUCACGACACGAGCUGACGACAGCCAUGCAGCACCUGUGCACCAGCUCCGAAGAGAAGAUGGCUUUCACCAUCGGUCCAGUACAUGUCAAGCCCAGGUAAGGUUCUUCGCGUUGCAUCGAAUUAAGCCACAUGCUCCGCCGCUUGUGCGGGCCCCCGUCAAUUCCUUUGAGUUUCAGUCUUGCGACCGUACUUCCCAGGCGGCGAACUUAACGCGUUAGCUUCGAUACUGAGUGCCUAAGUGCACCCAACAUCCAGUUCGCAUCGUUUAGGGCGUGGACUAC
rnacentral:misc_RNA from 1 species